GGGAAAACUUUGGUCACAAUAUUCAAGCUUGAUUCUGUCUGAAUUUGGAUUGUGAUCAAAUUUUUGACAUAAUACAGGUUUUUGUUACAAAAUUAAUGUGGUCAGAGAUCUAACAAAUCUAUUGCACAAUAAUGUGCAAUUGAAGAUUUCUUCUUGAAACUUUUCAAAAUUCAAAAUUUGAAAAAUUUUGAAAAAAAAGGAAGCCCCUCCACCUCCCACCCCAACUUUUUGAAACCCCCUUGGAGCAAUAACCCUUAAACUAAAUCCCAUGCUUUCCAUUGCAGUAUUGAACCUUGUAGUACAAUUCCAGAGAGAUCCAUACACUUAAACACAUGAUUGUUUAGAAACUAGAAACAUGCUUCUUUUUGGCCCUUUUUUGGCCCCUAAUUUCUAAACUUUGGCCCCAUAACCCCUAAAGUCAAUCCAAACCUUCUACUUGUGGUUUUAAACAUUGCGGUGUGAUUUCAGAGCAAUUGAAAUACUUCUGCACAAGUUAUUAUCCUGAAAAUAGAAAAAAUGCUUUUUUUGGGCCCCUUUUGGGCCCCUAAUUCCUAAUCGGUUGGGACCAUCAUCCCCAAAAUCAAUCCUAACCUUCCUUUUGUGGUAUUGAACCUUCUGAAAAAAUUUCAUGAAGAUCCAUUUACUUAAACUGAAGUUAUUAUCCGGAAACCAAUGUGUCUUCGGACGACGACGCAGACGACG
rnacentral:lncRNA from 1 species